AUUUGAAAGGCGCUUUCGGGUGUCGCUGAUGGAUGGACCCGCGGUGCAUUAGCUAGUUGGUGAGGUAACGGCUCACCAAGGCCACGAUGCAUAGCCGACCUGAGAGGGUGAUCGGCCACAUUGGGACUGAGACACGGCCCAAACUCCUACGGGAGGCAGCAGUAGGGAAUCUUCGGCAAUGGACGAAAGUCUGACCGAGCAACGCCGCGUGAGUGAAGAAGGUUUUCGGAUCGUAAAACUCUGUUGUUAGAGAAGAACAAGGAUGAGAGUAACUGUUCAUCCCUUGACGGUAUCUAACCAGAAAGCCACGGCUAACUACGUGCCAGCAGCCGCGGUAAUACGUAGGUGGCAAGCGUUGUCCGGAUUUAUUGGGCGUAAAGCGAGCGCAGGCGGUUUCUUAAGUCUGAUGUGAAAGCCCCCGGCUCAACCGGGGAGGGUCAUUGGAAACUGGGAGACUUGAGUGCAGAAGAGGAGAGUGGAAUUCCAUGUGUAGCGGUGAAAUGCGUAGAUAUAUGGAGGAACACCAGUGGCGAAGGCGGCUCUCUGGUCUGUAACUGACGCUGAGGCUCGAAAGCGUGGGGAGCAAACAGGAUUAGAUACCCUGGUAGUCCACGCCGUAAACGAUGAGUGCUAAGUGUUGGAGGGUUUCCGCCCUUCAGUGCUGCAGCUAACGCAUUAAGCACUCCGCCUGGGGAGUACGACCGCAAGGUUGAAACUCAAAGGAAUUGACGGGGGCCCGCACAAGCGGUGGAGCAUGUGGUUUAAUUCGAAGCAACGCGAAGAACCUUACCAGGUCUUGACAUCCUUUGACCACUCUAGAGAUAGAGCUUCCCCUUCGGGGGCAAAGUGACAGGUGGUGCAUGGUUGUCGUCAGCUCGUGUCGUGAGAUGUUGGGUUAAGUCCCGCAACGAGCGCAACCCUUAUUGUUAGUUGCCAUCAUUCAGUUGGGCACUCUAGCAAGACUGCCGGUGACAAACCGGAGGAAGGUGGGGAUGACGUCAAAUCAUCAUGCCCCUUAUGACCUGGGCUACACACGUGCU
rnacentral:rRNA from 1 species